GCCUACGGGAGGCAGCAGUAGGGAAUCUUCCACAAUGGGCGAAAGCCUGAUGGAGCAACGCCGCGUGGGUGAAGAAGGUUUUCGGAUCGUAAAACCCUGUUGUUAGAGAAGAAAGUGCGUGAGAGUAACUGUUCACGUUUCGACGGUAUCUAACCAGAAAGCCACGGCUAACUACGUGCCAGCAGCCGCGGUAAUACGUAGGUGGCAAGCGUUAUCCGGAUUUAUUGGGCGUAAAGGGAACGCAGGCGGUCUUUUAAGUCUGAUGUGCAAGCCUUCGGAUUAACCGGAGUAGUGCAUUGGAAACU
rnacentral:rRNA from 1 species